UACAGUCAGCUGUAUUAUGGCGCUUUAUUAGAUGUAGUGAGCUGAAAUGCCCACUCAUGUAGCCAUCCUAUACUUCCAUAUGCUUCUGAAUUUAUAUAGAGAUAUAUUGAGGUUCUUUCUAUCACCGUCAUAUAAGGGCACAUUUAUCAAGAUUUGGAUGCUGGGAGACAGAAAAUAGGGAGGUUGCACAUUGGUACUCUACUCCCAUGAGGUACAUGAGGAAACAGAAGAGGAGUGAAUUGAGAAUAACAGUGAACACAUGGAUAAUAUUAAUAAGAAGAAUAGAAGAUUGCCUUGAAAUGUGAAAAUGAAAGUCAACAUCAAGAACGAUUAAUGCAGAUGGCAACUGGAUGACCAUAGUAGUGUUCUCAUUUAUACCAUUUAGUUACAUAUAGUUACACAGUUAAUAAGGUUGAAUAUAAGUUCAACCUAAAAUCCUUCUGUGUUGAUCCCAAGGAAGGCACAAACCCAACAUCUGGUACCAAUUUCCCCAUAACAGAGGAAAAAUCCCUUCCCAGCCUCCAAU